rnacentral:lncRNA from 1 species
GGUGUCCAUCUAGUUCCUGCAAAAGCUAGCAUAUUCUCCUAGGUUAACUUCAGUAUUCAUCAGAGAAGGAAAGUUUACACAUCUGAGUCCUGUUUUUGGCCUCGGUCAUCACGGUCUUGGUCAACAGUUUCGAAGGCAUGAGCUGCUUCCCUGGGUAGAUAUUGUCAUCGUCUCCCCAAGGAAAUCCUAAAGAGCUUGUCUGAAUUUUAGCCAAGCAUCCUAUUUUUGUGGCUGCUCCUCAAAAGAGAAUUUUUUUUUAGACACGUCUAAGAACACUGUGACAAGAAAACUAUUUAUGGCUUUUUUUGAUAAACAAUAAAUUUUGGGCGCUUAAGGUUAUAGGAGGUGAUAUAUGAGGGGAACGAACAGGUUGUCUGAGAUGGAAGAAACGCACUUCCUGUUGGCACCGUGAAGCUCUCUCGCUCAGCCUGACUUGUCCAUAGCUAGAGAUUCAUGAAAAGGAAGAUGCCACAGGACAGAUAGACAGGAGUUUCCGCUGAGCUGGGCAAGCGGCAAAAGCAGGGAAAACAUCUGCAGCCUUUGUUCCACUUCUGAAAGUGUGUGCCUCCUGAUAGUUCCUCAAGUCUUUUUCAGACUCUUGAAAUCAUGUCUACGAAAACCAGUUUGCUUUAAAACAUGAGGCAGGAAAUGGAGUCGGUGACUGGAGAAACAUAAACAAGACCACAGACCUGGUCAUAGGUUGGCAGUCGUUAAAUCGGUGGCUCGGUCGAAGAGCAUCUCCUAUUUUAUCCUUUCGUGCAAGUUUGACCAUGGUGAAAAGUUUACACUAAUAUGAACGGAUCCUGUUCUCUUCAUGUAAGGUUCUAACUGAUGGGCUUUUCUGUCAGAAAGGAGAAGUGGUCGUAUGGACAGUGGAGCACAUGCACCUUUGUCAAAGAAAUGUCUUGAAGGAGACCAGAGCUCCAGCACAAUGUGCGGCACCCUGGGCUGGGACCAGGGACAUGAACUCAUAACCUCUGGGGAACUGUCCAAGGGGUGAAGACCUGUGAGGAAUAUGGUUGCCAGACAGCAAACUGUGACAGGAGCUGUUCUCAGUCCCCAGCUUUCAUCCUCAGCGUUUCCCCCAGGAUUUGGAUGUCACCAUUUCUUUUCAGGUUCACAGUUACACACACACAUGUCUUCCACUCCGCUGGGAUCUCACUGUGUCAUCAGCCACUCCCUCUCUCUCAUGCUCAGCCUUUCUGACCACCAGCUCCUGUCCUCAGAGCUUUCACUGCAGAUUUUCCAAAGUCCCAUCUCCCUCAAGAUGACUCAAAUCUUUCUCGAUCCCUUCUUUUUUUUUUUUGGUUCUUUUUUUCGGAGCUGGGGACCGAACCCAG